UGGGGAAUAUUGGACAAUGGGCGCAAGCCUGAUCCAGCCAUGCCGCGUGAACGAUGAAGGCCUUAGGGUUGUAAAGUUCUUUUGUCAGGGAAGAUAAUGGCGGUACCUGAAGAAUAAGCACCGGCUAACUUCGUGCCAGCAGCCGCGGUAAUACGAAGGGUGCUAGCGUUGUUCGGAAUCACUGGGCGUAAAGCGCGCGUAGGCGGCGAUAUAAGUCAGAGGUGAAAGCCUGGAGCUCAACUCCAGAACUGCCUUUGAAACUAUAUUGCUAGAGUGUCGGAGGGGAUAGCGGAAUUGCUAAUGUAGAGGUGAAAUUCGUAGAUAUUAGCAGGAACACCGGUGGCGAAGGCGGCUAUCUGGACGACAACUGACGCUGAGGCGCGAAAGCGUGGGGAUCAAACAGGAUUAGAUACCCAAGUAGUCCCUGAGCGGGCUGGCAAGGCGCAU
rnacentral:rRNA from 1 species